rnacentral:rRNA from 1 species
UACAGAGGGUGCGAGCGUUGUUCGGAAUUAUUGGGCGUAAAGGGCGCGUAGGCGGCGCCACAAGUCACUUGUGAAACUCUGGGCUCAACCCAGAGCCUGCAGGCGAAACUGUGGUGCUGGAGUAUGGGAGAGGUGCGUGGAAUUCCCGGUGUAGCGGUGAAAUGCGUAGAUAGUCGGGAGGAACACCUGUGGCGAAAGCGGACGCACUGGACCAUAACUGACGCUGAGGCGACGAAAGCUAGGGGAGCAAACAGG